GUCUUGUACACACCGCCCGUCACACCAUGGGAGUGGGUUUUACCAGAAGUGGCUAGUCUAACCGCAAGGAGGACGGUCACCACGGUAGGAUUCAUGACUGGGGUGAAGUCGUAACAAGGUAGCCGUAUCGGAAGGUGCGGCUGGAUCACCUCCUUUCCAGAGCUAUCUCGCGAAGUUGAGCGCUCACGCUUAUCGGCUGUAAAUUUAAAGACAGACUCAGGG
rnacentral:rRNA from 1 species